rnacentral:rRNA from 1 species
AUGAACGCUGGCGGCGUGCCUAAUACAUGCAAGUCGAGCGAACAGACGAGGAGCUUGCUCCUCUGACGUUAGCGGCGGACGGGUGAGUAACACGUGGAUAACCUACCUAUAAGACUGGGAUAACUUCGGGAAACCGGAGCUAAUACCGGAUAAUAUACUGAACCGCAUGGUUCAAUAGUGAAAGACGGUUUUGCUGUCACUUAUAGAUGGAUCCGCGCCGCAUUAGCUAGUUGGUAAGGUAACGGCUUACCAAGGCAACGAUGCGUAGCCGACCUGAGAGGGUGAUCGGCCACACUGGAACUGAGACACGGUCCAGACUCCUACGGGAGGCAGCAGUAGGGAAUCUUCCGCAAUGGGCGAAAGCCUGACGGAGCAACGCCGCGUGAGUGAUGAAGGUCUUCGGAUCGUAAAACUCUGUUAUUAGGGAAGAACAAAUGUGUAAGUAACUAUGCACGUCUUGACGGUACCUAAUCAGAAAGCCACGGCUAACUACGUG